AUAAAGAAAUGUGGCUCUGUAGUGGAAACCUGUGAGGCAGUGGACAGCUGCUGAUGUCUGAUGCUGGCUGACAAUAAACAGACCUCUCUGGACGUACCCCAUAUUUUGCAGAGUAAUUCUAACAUUGCCCUUCCUGUAACAUGAUGAUCCUGCUGUCCUGGACUGUAUAUGAUGAGCCUACACAGAAUCUCAGAACAGCAGUGGUAAUAACAGAGGACCCAUUAGAUGAGAGCGGCACUGCAGACUUUCCUGAUGGAGGAGAUCAUGGACAAUUUUCACAAGACUGAUGAUGUGUUUCAGCGGCCAUCAGCACAUAAAUUCCUCACAAUUUUUCUAUAUUUUGAUAUUAAAAAAAUUAUGUGCA